UACAGGGGUCCCGAGCGUUGUUCGGAUUCACUGGGCGUAAAGGGUGCGCAGGUGGGUUUGCAAGUUUGAUGUGAAAGCCCCGGGCUUAACCCGGGAAUGGCAUUGAAUACUGCAGAUCUGGAGGAUUGGAGGGGGGACUGGAAUUCUUGGUGUAGCAGUGAAAUGCGUAGAUAUCAAGAGGAACACCAGUGGCGAAGGCGAGUCCCUGGACAAUACCUGACACUGAGGCACGAAAGCCAAGGGAGCAAACAGG
rnacentral:rRNA from 1 species